rnacentral:rRNA from 1 species
CAUGCAAGUCGAACGAGAAUCUACUGAAAGAGUUUUCGGACAAUGGAUGUAGAGGAAAGUGGCGGACGGGUGAGUAACGCGUGAGGAACCUGCCUUGAAGAGGGGGACAACAGUUGGAAACGACUGCUAAUACCGCAUGACGCAUAGAGGUCGCAUGAUCUUUAUGCCAAAGAUUUAUCGCUUCAAGAUGGCCUCGCGUCUGAUUAGCUGGUUGGCGGGGUAGCGGCCCACCAAGGCGACGAUCAGUAGCCGGACUGAGAGGUUGAACGGCCACAUUGGGACUGAGAUACGGCCCAGACUCCUACGGGAGGCAGCAGUGGGGAAUAUUGGGCAAUGGGCGCAAGCCUGACCCAGCAACGCCGCGUGAAGGAAGAAGGCUUUCGGGUUGUAAACUUCUUUUAAGAGGGAAGAGCAGAAGACGGUACCUCUAGAAUAAGCCACGGCUAACUACGUGCCAGCAGCCGCGGUAAUACGUAGGUGGCAAGCGUUGUCCGGAUUUACUGGGUGUAAAGGGCGUGCAGCCGGGUCUGCAAGCCAGAUGUGAAAUCCAUGGGCUCAACCCAUGAACUGCAUUUGAAACUGUAGAUCUUGAGUGUCGGAGGGGCAAUCGGAAUUCCUAGUGUAGCGGUGAAAUGCGUAGAUAUUAGGAGGAACACCAGUGGCGAAGGCGGAUUGCUGGACGAUAACUGACGGUGAGGCGCGAAAGUGUGGGGAGCAAACAGGAUUAGAUACCC